AAGAUAUUAUUCUUCGAUACUGAUGAUAUUUUAAUAUUAAAAUAUCAUCGAGAUCGAAGGAUAUUUUUCAA